rnacentral:rRNA from 1 species
UACGGGGGGGGCAAGCGUUGUUCGGAAUUACUGGGCGUAAAGCGCGCGUAGGCGGCUUUUCAAGUCAGAGGUGAAAGCCCGGAGCUUAACUCCGGAACUGCCUUUGAAACUGUAUGGCUUGAGUGUCGGAGGGGAUAGCGGAAUUGCUAAUGUAGAGGUGAAAUUCGUAGAUAUUAGCAGGAACACCGGUGGCGAAGGCGGCUAUCUGGACGACAACUGACGCUGAGGCGCGAAAGCGUGGGGAUCAAACAGG